AAGAGUGAGAGGUAGGGGUAGAGCUGGCAAAGGAGUUCUUGGCCAAAGAAGACAACAACUUUCAAAUGAAAUCAAAGCAACAUUAGUUGAUCAUGUCAUCAACCAUGGGCUGACAAUGCCAGAGGCUGGACAGAGAAUGCAGACCAACCUGAGCCGUUUUACUGUCGCCUGUGUCAUCUGGACCUUUAGACUGGAGUACAGGAUUGAGAGACGCAACUCUGGUGGAGGAAGGGCCAAAUGUUCAUCGGGGUACAGGAAGCUGCCAUUGUAAACUUGGUUUUAGAAAAUAAUGACAUCCGAUCAAGAGAAAUUCAAAGCCACAUGAAACCAAAUCAGAAUGAAACAACUUUAUAAGGUGCCGUUUGAGAGAAACUGUCAAAGAAACAAAGAGGAUAUGUGGAUUGAGUACUGGAAAUGGAUGCUCAUGCAAUCCCACAUGAGUUUAUCUUUGUAGAAGAGGCUGGGUUCAACCUAGCAAAGACCAGAAGAAGGGGGAAAAACGUCAUAUUCACCAUACAACACAGCCCAUAUUCACCAUACAACACAGCCCAUAUUCACCAUACAACA